GGGAACAAAGUGGGCGAUCUCUGAGGUCCUUUUUUUUCUUCCAUUAAAAAAAGAAAAGACAUAAUUCGCAUACCAUAGGAUUCACCUUCCUUAAGCGUACCAUCCAAUGUUUCUUUGUGUAUUUGUGAGGUUGUGUAACUGUCACCAUCUUCGAAUUCCAGAACAUUUUGAUCCCUCCAAACCCAUUUGGACUCUCCCAUCUCCCAGCCUCUGGCAACCAGAAAUCUGCUCUCUGUUUCUAUGGAAUCACCUAUUUUAGACGUUUCAUGUAAAUGAAUCAUACAAUCUGUGGGUAUUUUGUAACUGGCUUCUUCCCUUGGUGUGAAGUUUCCGAGGACCAUCAUGAUGUAGCGUGCAAGGGCCAGAUAACAUUCCAUUGGGUGGAUGUGUCAUUUUGCUGACCCGUUCAUCAGCGGAUGGACUCGGAAGCACUUUCCACUCUGAGGUUUAUGGACGCAGGGUUCCCGUUCUGCAUCCGGCUGGGACACCAACAGGUGGGACUCCAGUUGGCCUCCAGCACCACACUUGCAGCUUCUUGGAUGACGUGGCUGUUGAUAGACGGCUGCCUCAACUGCACAUGCCAAAUGGAACUAAUUUCCCCUGACAGCCUCCCUCCUUCACGCUUCCCCACUUCUGCUAAUGGCAACACCAAUCUCUCAGGUCCAUGCAACAGUCUUCUUCUUCUUCUUUUUUUUAACCCCUCCUUCUUCUGCAUAGUAACUCACAUGCCAACCUGUGUAGACCCUACCUCGACUAUACCAUUUCCUCCCAUUGUCAUGACCGAUUUCAAGCCUCUUGGCUGUCAGUGUAGGUUUUCACCAGCUUCCCCAUUUGCUAACUGUCCCCUUUCUACUCAGUGUGAUUCAGUUGCUGGAUUUAUCCUUUUUAUGUGCAGCUGUGUCCAAACCUGUCCCGGGAUCAAACGGCUGAAAUGAAAUGCAAAUUUCUAACCCUUGGUCCAGCGUAAAUAGCUUGCAAUUUAGUAAAGGAAGAAAGGCAGAUAAGUGAUAGUCAUACCCUUGCCUUCGCUAUUUGAUUGCAAACAUCUUUAAGGGAAGAAACUAUUUCCACAGCAGGGUGAGAAAGACAAGGCUUUGGUGGAAGCCAGGCCCUCUCUUGAAGCCUACCUAUUCCAUCAGGGACACGAGAAUCACCCCAAGCUUCCAUCACCUCAUUUGUGAAUAAAAAAAAAAGGAGAAAAACUACUUACCUCUUGGGGUGCUUGUGAAGAUGAGACGUAAGGUACAUAAGGGGACAACACCUGACGUGUAGCUUGUACACAAUGAACUGUGGCCCCUGCUUUCGUCCUCCCCGAGAUGCUGCACACUGCUCUGCAGAGCGGGCACCCAAUACUCGGACUGCUAAAUGGAAAUGUGGGGAUUUGGUGGGAUACAGGGGGAAGCCCCAACUGCGGAAGGAGUCAGGGAAAGAGAACAGUAGCUGGCAGUUGCAGAGAAUGAAAAGAGGGAGCUUGGAAACACGAGCAAGACAUGGAUGGACAGGUACGUUCUGGGCUGGCCUGAAGGCAAAGGCUGAGGCAGGACUACCUGGGGGCAAGGUGCGGGGGGCAGGGAGGAGGCUAAGCCUCACUCGGGUGAAGGGCCAUGAUGGGUAGGAGAGGGAAAUCAAGUUGGCCAAAGAAAUCAUGAACAGCUCAGAAACUAAGUAGAGUUGGAUCUCCCCGUGGGAGUCCCCACAGAGCCAUUACGGUUCUUGGGCUGACAAGUGACGGGAGGAGCAGGAACCCACGCUCAUGCUGGUGUUUGCCCAAAACGACCCGGCCACGCUGGGGAUAGAGCAAGGAGCACACCAGAAAGACAUUUUGAGUGCUGGGGGGCUCAGUGGUUGAGCAUCUGCCUUCGGCACAGGGCGUGAUCCUGGAGACCCGGGAUCGAGUCCCACGUUGGGCUCCCUGCAUGGAACCUGCUGCUCCCUCUGCCUGUGUCUCUGCUUCUCUCUGUGUGUCUCUCAUGAAUAAAUAAAUAAAAUCUUAAAAAAGAAUACAUUUUGAAAGAAAAAAGCAUUACAGGCCUUCCCUAGUAACAAAAACGAUAAACGAUCCUGAACUUUUGCCUCUUUCCCCGAAGGCCAACAUUUUAUUUUUUCCCUCCAAACAUCUUCAAACACCUUGUUCCUCCAAUCCUUUCUUUUCUGAAACAAAGCUAGAAAUAAACUUGACCGAUUAGUCAGGAAACCCUAUCAGUCGUGGCUGUCCAGGUACUCCGACCCAAGAUAGAAAGAUUCCGGGUUAUCUUAAUCUGCCUACCUGUGCCCAGGCUUAAUUGCGAUGCGGCGCUUCCCUGAAGAGACAGGAAGAAGUUGAGCAUGUCAGGUAAUCAAUCAAAACUCACAUUUACAGCUCCAGAACCUUCCCCCACACUCCUAUUAGAGUACAGAUACCCCACAGGAGGCAAACAUUAGGCUCCGUAGGUACUGCAGCCAAAUAUCACUGGCUGCCCCCAUCAAAUUAGAAUGUGGCAAAGAGGCCACUUUCUAAAAGGAAAAAGAAAAAGGUCAAGAAAUUUUGAGGCCUUUUUAAAAAAGAUUUUAUUUAUUUAUUUGAUAGAGAGAGAGAGAGAGCACAAGCAGGGGGAGCAGGAGAGGGAGAAGCAGACUCCCCCCCCCCCGAGCAAGGAAGCCCACACGGGGCUCGACCCCAGCGCCCUGAAAUCAUGACCUGAGCCAAAGGCAGACACUUAACCGACUGAGCCACCCAGGCGCCCCAAAUUUGAAGCUUUUACUUUCAAUAGGUGGCAAGGCAUAGGGAGAGUUUUGUGCCUCUUUUCCUUCCACUGGAGCUGUUUAUAAAUAUUUGAUUGCAUGAAAGCCUCCAAGUUCUCUGGGACUCAUUCUUGCUGGCUGGGCCCGUUUUGCUGCUGCUGCACUUGCUGGCUAAAUAAUCAAUCCAGCUACCUCAGGUUCCGGGCACUCAACUUUUGUGAAUUUGCCAAAUUUCAGAAGCCUUUCAGAAGAGGCCAUCAAUCAGGACACGAGAGGGAAUGGAGGUAAGCUCUGUCAGUCUCAGGCUCGCUUUGAGCACAUAUACUAAAAUUGGAAUGAUCCAGAGAAGAUUAGCACGGCCCCUGCGCUAGGAUGACACACAAAUCUGAGAAGUGUUCUAUAUUAAAAAAAGAAAAAAAAAAAAAAAAAAAAG
rnacentral:lncRNA from 1 species